rnacentral:rRNA from 1 species
CCUACGGGUGGCAGCAGUGAGGAAUAUUGGUCAAUGGACGGAAGUCUGAACCAGCCAAGCCGCGUGCAGGAAGAAGGCUCUAUGAGUUGUAAACUGCUUUUGUAAAAGGGUAAACCUGAAGACGUGUAUGCAGCUGAAAGUACGGUACGAAUAAGGAUCGGCUAACUCCGUGCCAGCAGCCGCGGUAAUACGGAGGAUCCAAGCGUUAUCCGGAUUUAUUGGGUUUAAAGGGUGCGUAGGCGGCUUGAUAAGUUAGAGGUGAAAUGUCCGAGCUUAACUCGGGAACUGCCUCUAAUACUGUUGAUCUCGAGCGUAGCUGCGGUAGGCGGAAUGUAUGGUGUAGCGGUGAAAUGCUUAGAUAUCAUGCAGAACACCGAUUGCGAAGGCAGCUUACCAAUCUAUAUCUGACGUUGAGGCCCGAAAGCGUGGGGAGCAAACAGGAUUAGAUACCCUGGUAGUC